rnacentral:rRNA from 1 species
CCUACGGGUGGCUGCAGUGGGGAAUUUUGGACAAUGGGGGCAACCCUGAUCCAGCCAUUCCGCGUGAGUGAAGAAGGCCUUCGGGUUGUAAAGCUCUUUCGGCCGGGAAGAAAUCGCAUCUCCUAAUACGGGGUGUGGAUGACGGUACCGGCAGACGAAGCACCGGCUAACUACGUGCCAGCAGCCGCGGUAAUACGUAGGGUGCGAGCGUCAAUCGGAGUUACUGGGCGGCACACUAAGACAGGCGGCAAAUCCCCGGGCUUAACCUGGGAACUGCGUUUGUGACUGGUGGGCUUGAGUGCGGCAGAGGGGGGUGGAAUUCCACGUGUAGCAGUGAAAUGCGUAGAGAUGUGGAGGAACACCGAUGGCGAAGGCAGCCCCCUGGGUCGACACUGACGCUCAUGCACGAAAGCGUGGGGAGCAAACAGGAUUAGAUACCCCAGUAGUC